rnacentral:rRNA from 1 species
GUGCCAGCCGCCGCGGUAAUACGGAGGGUGCAAGCGUUGUCCGGAUUUAUUGGGUUUAAAGGGUGCGUAGGCGGCUUAUUAAGUCAGGGGUGAAAGACUAUUGCUUAACAAUGGCAGUGCCUUUGAUACUGAUAGGCUUGAGUACAUUUGAGGCAGAUGGAACGGGUGGUGUAGCGGUGAAAUGCAUAGAUACCAUCCAGAACACCGAUUGCGAAGGCAGUCUGCUAAACUGUAACUGACGCUGAGGCACGAAAGCGUGGGGAUCGAACAGGAUUAGAUACCCUAGUAGUCC